UAGAAAACAGAGGAUUCUCAAUAUAAAUUCGAACAUAACAAUCUGCAGCAGUUCAACAGAUAAAUAGAAAUAUAAAUUCAAAACUGCCUCAAGCAUAACAUCAGCAGUUCGACACUUAAGUUCAGUAACAACAGCAGCAUGUCCAUAGUCCAUUACAUGCAUCACAAAGUCUUCAGAAUUUAUUUGUCAAAAGCACACAGGAAAGGAUAGAAUCAUGAGCGCCAAAACGAACUUCAUAGAGAAACCGACAAGCUCACAUGUCAGAACCAGAACUCAUGUCGGUGUCCUCGUCGCCGUCACUUUCUGAAGCAGAGGAAGCAAAGAGCAGAUCUUCUUGAGGAGUAACAGGGAUCAUCUUCUUCUUCUUCUUACCAUAGACACCCCUCUUCCUUUUAAGUGGAUUAAUAGAAGAAGUUCCUGGUCCAGCAUGUGAGCUUCUGUUGAAUCAACAAACAAAUAAGCUAUGGAAUAUUCUACCGAUGAGCUAUUGAAUCGGAAUCAACAAACAAAUCUGAAUCCCAGAGCCUACAAUCUGAAUCAACAAACAAGUCUGAAUAUUCUACCAAUGAGCUAUGGAAUCGGGGACUCCUGUACCUCCUGGCGAUGUGCUUUCCCCGGCUGCUGAAACCGUGUGAGAGUGAGACUGAGAUGUCAUCGUGCUCGCAGAG
rnacentral:lncRNA from 1 species